UAAUAGACGUUGAGAAGGUAAGUACGUUGUUGACCAUGCCCAGAGAGCUUGUGUUGGUGAGAGCAAGCGAUGCGAGGCAACCGAAUAUGGCCUUUGAGUGAGAAGAUAUAAGCGAUAGUGAGUAUCUUCCGGGCACUCCCGUUAUAGAGUAACAGUAUAAUUUAGUGUAGAAUAGAGUGAAGCUGCCUUGGAGCAGGUUAUUAUUCUGAAGAGCUAAACGUACUGAUGGAGCUGCAGCUGGGUGACCGUUGCAGAAAAUAAAGGUGGUACCGUGGAAGUCUUCACCCUUUAA
rnacentral:ncRNA from 1 species